CACAGUGGCUACUGGGGUUCUG
rnacentral:miRNA from 1 species